rnacentral:rRNA from 1 species
AGGACGAACGCUGGCGGCGUGCCUAACACAUGCAAGUCGAACGCGCUCCAUUCGGUAGCAAUACUGAUGAAGAGCGAGUGGCGAACGGGUGAGUAGCACGUGAGCAACCUGCCCCGAAGACUGGGACAACACCGGGAAACCGGUGCUAAUACCGGAUAUCCCUAUUGGAUCGCAUGAUCCGAUAAGGAAAUGUUUUUCGCUUCGGGAGGGGCUCGCGGCCUAUCAGCUAGUUGGUGGGGUAACGGCCCACCAAGGCAUCGACGGGUAGCUGGUCUGAGAGGACGAUCAGCCACACUGGGACUGAGACACGGCCCAGACUCCUACGGGAGGCAGCAGUGGGGAAUCUUGCGCAAUGGGCGAAAGCCUGACGCAGCAACGCCGCGUGGAGGACGAAGGCUUUCUGAGUUGUAAACUCCUUUCAGCAGGGACGAUUGUGACGGUACCUGCAGAAGAGCACCGGCCAACUACGCGCCAGCAGCCG